GGCCCAAUGGUCUAGUCGUAUGAUUCUCGCUUUGGGAUACCUAAAAUUGCGAGAGGUCGUGGGUUCAAUUCCCGCUUGGGCCC
rnacentral:tRNA from 1 species